rnacentral:rRNA from 1 species
AUUGAACGCUGGCGGCAGGCCUAACACAUGCAAGUCGAGCGAGCGGCGGACGGGUGGGGAAUGUAUGGGGACUGCCCGAUAGAGGGGGAUAACUACUGGAAACGGUGGCUAAUACCGCAUACUAUCGGAUAACCCAUAUGGGAUUAGCUAGUAGGUAAGGUAAAGGCUCACCUAGGCGACGAUCUCUAGUUGGACUGAGAGGAUGAUCUGCCACACUGGGACCGAAACCCGGCCCAGAGUCCUACGGAGGCAGCAGUGGGGAAUAUUGCACAAUGGGCGCAAGCCUGAUGCAGCCAUGCAGCGUGUAUGAAGAAGGCCUUAGGGUUGUAAAGAACUUUCAGCCGGGAGGCGUUACCCCCAGAAGAAGCACCGGCUAACUCCGUGCCAGCAGCCGCGGUAAUUC